rnacentral:rRNA from 1 species
GACGAACGCUGGCGGCGUGCUUAACACAUGCAAGUCGAACGGUAAGGCCCUUCGGGGUACACGAGUGGCGAACGGGUGAGUAACACGUGGGUGAUCUGCCCUGCACUUCGGGAUAAGCCUGGGAAACUGGGUUUAAUACCGGAUAGGACCACUUCCUGCAUGGGCGGUGGUGGAAAGCUGUUGCGGUGUGGGAUGGGCCCGGCGCCUAUGAGCUUUUUGGUGGGGUGAUGGCCUACCAAGGCGACGACGGGUAGCCGGCCUGAGAGGGUGACCGACCACACUGGGACUGAGAUACGGCACAGAUUCCUACGGGAGGCAGCAGUGGGAAAUAUUGCACAAUGGGCGCAAGCCUGAUGCAGCGACGCCGCGUGAGGGAUGACGGCCUUCGGGUUGUAAACCUCUUUCAGCACCGACGAAGCGCAAGUGACGGUAGGUGCAGAAGAAGGACCGGCCAACUACGUGCCAGCAGCCGCCGUAA